GACGAACGCUGGCGGCGUGCCUAAUACAUGCCAGUUGAGCGCUGAAGGUUGGUACUUGUACCAACUGGAUGAGCAGCGAACGGGUGAGUAACGCGUGGGGAAUCUGCCUUUGAGCGGGGGACAACAUUUGGAAACGAAUGCUAAUACCGCAUAAAAACUUUAAACACAAGUUUUAAGUUUGAAAGAUGCAAUUGCAUCACUCAAAGAUGAUCCCGCGUUGUAUUAGCUAGUUGGUGAGAUAAAGGCUCACCAAGGCGAUGAUACAUAGCCGACCUGAGAGGGUGAUCGGCCACAUUGGGACUGAGACACGGCCCAAACUCCUACGGGAGGCAGCAGUAGGGAAUCUUCGGCAAUGGACGAAAGUCUGACCGAGCAACGCCGCGUGAGUGAAGAAGGUUUUCGGAUCGUAAAACUCUGUUGGUAGAGAAGAACGUUGGUGAGAGUGGAAAGCUCAUCAAGUGACGGUAACUACACAGAAAGGGACGGCUAACUACGUG
rnacentral:rRNA from 1 species